rnacentral:tRNA from 1 species
GGAGGGUUCGCAUAGCGGUCUAGUGCGCACGCUUGGAAAGCGUGUGUGGGGCAACUCACCGAGGGUUCGAAUCCCUCACCCUCCG